UACAUGGGGUGCAAACGUUGCUCGGAAUCAUUGGGCGUAAAGCGCGCGUAGGCGGUUACUUAAGUCGAAUGUGAAAGCCCUCGGCUUAACCGAGGAAGUGCAUCCGAAACUGAGUAGCUAGAGUACGAAAGAGGGUCGCGGAAUUCCCGGUGUAGAGGUGAAAUUCGUAGAUAUUAGGAAGAACACCAGUGGCGAAGGCGGCUCACUGGCCCGGUACUGACGCUGAGGCGCGAAAGCGUGGGGAGCAAACAGG
rnacentral:rRNA from 1 species